rnacentral:lncRNA from 1 species
AUUUAGGGAGCUACCAUUUGAUUUUUAUGGGGGGGCUAGGAUGAAAAAUUUUGUCCUGCAUUUUUUUUUUGCUGUAAUCUCUGUCCUGCCUUUUUAUUUUUCACUCUAAUCGGUCCUGCCUUUUUUUUUUUAGUUUAUCCUGACUUUUUUUUACCUAAAUUGUCGUCCUGACUUUUUUUUUUGCAAGUGUCACAUCCUGCCUUUUUUUUUUACUCAAAACUCCUGUCCUGCCUAUUUUUUUCAAAUUUCAUCCUAGCCCCCCCAUAAAAAUCAAAUGGUAGCUCCCUUAUGAUUUUAU